rnacentral:rRNA from 1 species
UGGGGAAUUUUGGACAAUGGGGGAAACCCUGAUCCAGCCAUUCCGCGUGAGUGAAGAAGGCCUUCGGGUUGUAAAACUCUUUCGGCAGGAACGAAACGGUAGUCUCUAAUACGGGCUGCUAAUGACGGUACCUGAAGAAGAAGCACCGGCUAACUACGUGCCAGCAGCCGCGGUAAUACGUAGGGUGCGAGCGUUAAUCGGAAUUACUGGGCGUAAAGCGUGCGCAGGCGGUUUUGUAAGACAGAUAUGAAAUCCCCGGGCUUAACCUGGGAACUGCGUUUGUGACUGCAAGACUAGAGUGUGGCAGAGGGGGGUGGAAUUCCACGCGUAGCAGUGGAAUGCGUAGAGAUGUGGAGGAACACCGAUGGCGAAGGCAGCCCCCUGGGUUAACACUGACGCUCAUGCACGAAAGCGUGGGUAGCAAACAGG